rnacentral:rRNA from 1 species
GCUGCCAGUGCCAACGGUGAAGCCGGGCACUCUGGAAGGACUGCCAUCGACAAGAUGGAGGAAGGUGGGGACGACGGUCAAGUCAUCAUGGCCCUUAUGUCCAGGGCGACACACGUGCUACAAUGGCCGGCACAACGGGAAGCGAGUUCGCGAGGACGAGCGGAUCCCUUAAAGCCGGUCGCAGUUCGGAUUGAAGUCUGCAACUCGACUUCAUGAAGCUGGAAUCGCUAGUAAUCGCAGAUCAGCCAAGCUGCGGUGAAUACGUUCCCGGGCCUU